UACGUAGGGUGCAAGCGUUAAUCGGAAUUACUGGGCGUAAAGCGUGCGCAGGCGGCUUUGCAAGACAGAUGUGAAAGCCCCGGGCUUAACCUGGGAAUGGCCAUGGAAACUGGCGAGCUGGAGUGUGGCAGAGGGGGGUGGAAUUCCGCGUGUAGCAGUGAAAUGCGUAGAGAUGCGGAGGAACACCGAUGGCGAAGGCAGCCCCCUGGGCUAACACUGACGCUCAGGCACGAAAGCGUGGGGAGCAAACAGG
rnacentral:rRNA from 1 species